AUUGAACGCUGGCGGCAUGCUUUACACAUGCAAGUCGAACGGUAACAGGCCUUCGGGUGCUGACGAGUGGCGAACGGGUGAGUAAUGCAUCGGAACGUACCCAGAGGUGGGGGAUAACGCAGCGAAAGCUGUGCUAAUACCGCAUGUGAUCUGAGGAUGAAAGCGGGGGACCGAGCAGCAAUGUUUGGCCUCGCGCCUUUGGAGCGGCCGAUGUCGGAUUAGCUAGUUGGUGGGGUAAAGGCCUACCAAGGCGACGAUCCGUAGCUGGUCUGAGAGGACGACCAGCCACACUGGGACUGAGACACGGCCCAGACUCCUACGGGAGGCAGCAGUGGGGAAUUUUGGACAAUGGGCGCAAGCCUGAUCCAGCAAUGCCGCGUGCGGGAAGAAAGCCUUCGGGUUGUAAACCGCUUUUGGCAGGAACGAAACGGUGUCCGCUAAUACCGGGCGCUAAUGACGGUACCUGCAGAAUAAGCACCGGCUAACUACGUG
rnacentral:rRNA from 1 species